rnacentral:rRNA from 1 species
UACGGAGGGGGCUAGCGUUGUCCGGAAUUAUUGGGCGUAAAGAGCUUGUAGGCGGUUUGUCGCGUCUGCUGUGAAAAUCCGGGGCUCAACCCCGGACUUGCAGUGGGUACGGGCAGACUAGAGUGUGGUAGGGGAGACUGGAAUUCCUGGUGUAGCGGUGAAAUGCGCAGAUAUCAGGAGGAACACCGAUGGCGAAGGCAGGUCUCUGGGCCACUACUGACGCUGAGAAGCGAAAGCAUGGGGAGCGAACAGG